rnacentral:rRNA from 1 species
AUUGAACGCUGGCGGCAGGCCUAACACAUGCAAGUCGAACGGUAACAGGAAGCAGCUUGCUGCUUUGCUGACGAGUGGCGGACGGGUGAGUAAUGUCUGGGAAACUGCCUAAUGGAGGGGGAUAACUACUGGAAACGGUAGCUAAUACCGCAUAACGUCGCAAGACCAAAGAGGGGGACCUUCGGGCCUCUUGCCAUCGGAUGUGCCCAGAUGGGAUUAGCUAGUAGGUGGGGUAACGGCUCACCUAGGCGACGAUCCCUAGCUGGUCUGAGAGGAUGACCAGCCACACUGGAACUGAGACACGGUCCAGACUCCUACGGGAGGCAGCAGUGGGGAAUAUUGCACAAUGGGCGCAAGCCUGAUGCAGCCAUGCCGCGUGUAUGAAGAAGGCCUUCGGGUUGUAAAGUACUUUCAGCGGGGAGGAAGGGAGUAAAGUUAAUACCUUUGCUCAUUGACGUUACCCGCAGAAGAAGCACCGGCUAACUCCGUG